rnacentral:tRNA from 1 species
GCCUGGGUGGCUCAGUCGGUGAAGCAUCUGACUUCAGCUCAGGUCACGAUCUCACAGUUUGUGAGUUCAAGCCCCACGUCGGGCU